rnacentral:lncRNA from 1 species
CCGGGACUGAGUGAGCCGGCCGACGAUCACGGUAAAGGUAUCGCGCCACAGACAGGGAUCGACCACCCGAGUGGGUUUUAUUUUAUUUAGCUGCAUACCCUUUUGUAUAUCAUGUUUUGUAUUUGAUGAUUAUAGAUGUUUAAAGCAAAGAUUGUAAAAGGUUCAUUUUGGGGAAUAUGUGAUGUAUGAAAGAAAUGAUGCAAAAUAAUGUAAAAGAAUACCAAGUUAU